rnacentral:rRNA from 1 species
GAUGAGCGCUAGCUACAGGCUUAACACAUGCAAGUCGAGGGGCAGCAUGAGGUCAGCUUGCUGACUUUGAUGGCGACCGGCGCACGGGUGAGUAACGCGUAUCCAACCUUCCCGCGACUGGGGGAUAACCUUGCGAAAGUAAGACUAAUACCCCAUGGUUUCCGAGGCGGACAUCCAAUCUGGAAUAAAGAUUCAUCGGUUGUGGAUGGGGAUGCGUCUGAUUAGCUUGUUGGCGGGGUAACGGCCCACCAAGGCUACGAUCAGUAGGGGUUCUGAGAGGAAGGUCCCCCACAUUGGAACUGAGACACGGUCCAAACUCCUACGGGAGGCAGCAGUGAGGAAUAUUGGUCAAUGGACGAGAGUCUGAACCAGCCAAGUAGCGUGCAGGAUGACGGCCCUAUGGGUUGUAAACUGCUUUUAUACGGGAAUAAAGUCAACCACGUGUGGUUGUUUGUAUGUACCGUAUGAAUAAGGACCGGCUAAUUCCGUGCCAGCAGCCGCCGUAAAAC